AGGCAGCAGGCGCGCAAAUUACCCACUUCAGACCUUGAGAGGUAGUGACGAGAAAUAACGGUGUCGGACUCCUCGCGGAGCGCCGUCGACCGAAAUGAGUGCAGAGCAGAACUCUGACUAACGAGCGUCGGACCGGCCGCGUUCGCGCGGCCGAUCUCCGGCGUGCGUGCGAGUAUCGAUCGAAGGGCAAGUCUGGUGCCAGCAGCCGCGGUAAUUCCAGCUUCGAAAGUGUACGCUAAUGCUGUUGUGGUUAAAAAGCUCGUAGUCGAAGACGACCAUGACUUCGGUCGAUCGGCCGGCCCGAGUAGGCGCGUUCGCGCGCGCCGAAAGGGUCGGAUCCCGAUCGCCAACGACCGAGAAAGGGAGGUCGGUCGAUGAAGGCCCUUUGCGGACUUCGACCGUUCCGGUCCCCCUGCAAUCGCCCUGUACCAAUGUGUGCUCGUCAGGGCAGAUCGAGAAUCGAGAGACGAUCGCGAAGCGAACUUCGCGGAACGAUGCAAGAAGGCCGCGGCUCGGCCGCCGGCGCUCCGAGUUCAAUGUCGCGCGACAAUGAUUGAGAGGGACGAACGGGGGCAUUCGUACUGUGCCGGGAGAGGUGAAAUUCGAAGAUCGGCGCAAGACGACCCGAAGCGAAAGCGUCUGCCAAGGACGUCUUCCUUGAUCAAGAGCGACAGUCGGAGGAUCGAAGAUGAUCAGAUACCGUUGUAGUUCCGACUGCAAACGAUGCCGACCGCGAGGUCGCGACCGUGAAAGACUCGGCGAUCGUCGAGAUCGCCGAGCGAGGCAAGUGGUGACCGCGCUCCCGGGGAAACCUGAGUUUUCGGGUUCCGGGGGAAGUAUGGUUGCAAAGCUGAAACUUGAAGGAAUUGACGGAAGGGCACCACCAGGAGUGGAGCCUGCGGCUUAAUUUGACUCAACGCGGGGAAACUCACCCGGCCCGGACGUGACGAGGAUUGACAGAUUGAAGGGCUCUUUCUUGAUCUUGCGAAUGGUGGUGCAUGGCCGUUCUUAGUUCGUGGAACGAUUUGUCUGGUUGAUUCCGAUAACGGACGAGGCUCGAACGCGACAAGUUCCCUUCGAUUCGCGCCGCGCACCCGGUGCGCGGGCGAAAAAGAGUAUAUCGAAACUGUGAGACUGGCGGCAGGAAGCCGCACGAGAUCGAGCGAUAACAGGUCUGUGAUGCCCUUCGAUGUCC
rnacentral:rRNA from 1 species